AACGAACGCUGGCGGCAUGCCUAACUCAUGCAAGUCGAACGAGAUCUUCGGGUCUAGUGGCGCACGGGUGCGUAACGCGUGGGAAUCUGCCCUUUGGUUCGGAAUAACAGUUGGAAACGACUGCUAAUACCGGAUGAUGACGAAAGUCCAAAGAUUUAUCGCCAGAGGAUGAGCCCGCGUAGGAUUAGCUAGUUGGUGUGGUAAAGGCGCACCAAGGCGACGAUCCUUAGCUGGUCUGAGAGGAUGAUCAGCCACACUGGGACUGAGACACGGCCCAGACUCCUACGGGAGGCAGCAGUGGGGAAUAUUGGACAAUGGGCGAAAGCCUGAUCCAGCAAUGCCGCGUGAGUGAUGAAGGCCUUAGGGUUGCAAAGCUCUUUUACCCGGGAUGAUAAUGACAGUACCGGGAGAAUAAGCUCCGGCUAACUCCGUGCCAGCCGCCGCGGUAA
rnacentral:rRNA from 1 species